rnacentral:tRNA from 1 species
GGACCAGCGGAGCAGCCAGGAGUGCUCACCGGUCUCUCAAUCCGGAGGUCGCGGGUUCGAAUCCCGCCUGGUCUAC